rnacentral:lncRNA from 1 species
AGUAGCAUUGGCAAUUGUUGUCCUUAUCAGCGGCCGACAAGGCAGAAUUGGAACGGUGCUGCUCCUGACUACCUCUACUCCAUGCUAGGCUUAGGGGCUGUAGUCACCCAAGCCCUCAGGGACCUGCAGCUGCUGAAGUCCUCUCAUCACCUGCAGUAUCCCAGAAGGCAAAGACAGGGCCAAAUACUGGAUUCUGGAUUCUCUUCAUUGUUGCCCCUGCAAUUGGAGAGGUAUCCAGGCUGGGCCUUGUCCUAAGAUAUGACG